rnacentral:rRNA from 1 species
UACGUAGGGUGCGAGCGUUAAUCGGAAUUACUGGGCGUAAAGCGUGCGCAGGCGGUCUGUUAAGACCGAUGUGAAAUCCCCGGGCUUAACCUGGGAACUGCAUUGGUGACUGGCAGGCUUUGAGUGUGGCAGAGGGAGGUAGAAUUCCACGUGUAGCAGUGAAAUGCGUAGAGAUGUGGAGGAAUACCGAUGGCGAGGCAGCCCCCUGGGAUAACACUGACGCUCAUGCACGAAAGCGUGGGGAGC